rnacentral:rRNA from 1 species
GAUUAUCUAGCUUGCUAGAUAUGAUUAGUGGCGGACGGGUGAGUAACAUUUAGGAAUCUGCCUAGUAGUGGGGGAUAGCUCGGGGAAACUCGAAUUAAUACCGCAUACGACCUACGGGUGAAAGGGGGCGCAAGCUCUUGCUAUUAGAUGAGCCUAAAUCAGAUUAGCUAGUUGGUGGGGUAAAGGCCCACCAAGGCGACGAUCUGUAACUGGUCUGAGAGGAUGAUCAGUCACACCGGAACUGAGACACGGUCCGGACUCCUACGGGAGGCAGCAGUGGGGAAUAUUGGACAAUGGGGGCAACCCUGAUCCAGCCAUGCCGCGUGUGUGAAGAAGGCCUUUUGGUUGUAAAGCACUUUAAGCAGGGAGGAGAGGCUAAUGGUUAAUACCCAUUAGAUUAGACGUUACCUGCAGAAUAAGCACCGGCUAACUCUGUGCCAGCAGCCGCGGUAAUACAGAGGGUGCGAGCGUUAAUCGGAAUUACUGGGCGUAAAGCGAGUGUAGGUGGCUCAUUAAGUCACAUGUGAAAUCCCCGGGCUUAACCUGGGAACUGCAUGUGAUACUGGUGGUGCUAGAAUAUGUGAGAGGGAAGUAGAAUUCCAGGUGUAGCGGUGAAAUGCGUAGAGAUCUGGAGGAAUACCGAUGGCGAAGGCAGCUUCCUGGCAUAAUAUUGACACUGAGAUUCGAAAGCGUGGGUAGCA